GGAUGUGCCCUGGUUGGGGGAUAGCUCCUUAAGAUCUCUUUCUCUAUUUGUUACAGUUCUGGGACCCCUGGAUGUAAGCCUCACUGGCCACCAGAGCCCUGGUAUUCCCUGGUGGCACCCACAGAAACUGGGACUUGGGUGUGCCCAGGCUCCUUUCCAGGAGACCGCAGAGUCCCUGAUCAAGGCAGAGGGAACAGUAUGAAGAUGGUACCUGCUGGGCUCCACAGUCUUUGUGUUACUGAACAAUCUGUCACAGCCCCUGAUUCAGGAAAUGAAUAAUCCCCCUCACCUGUGGGCACCCUCAGAGUUCUGCAGACCUCAUCUCCACAAACUUCCACCCCACAGCAUAGAGCCAGUCUGAAUGCAGGCAAGGAAGAGACCAGAAACGAGAGAAAUUAACUACUUUCAAGUAGUUAAUGACUGGAGGAUGUGAGAGCUACUUCAAAUAUGAAGAUAGCAAUGCAGAAAAUUCAAGGAAUAUGAAGAAAAUCAAGGAAACAUGAUACUGCCAAAGGAUCACAAUAAUCUAUCAGUAACUGAUCUCAAAGACAUGGAAACGUGAUUUUCCCAAUAAAUAUUUCAAAGCUAUUUUAAGGAAACUCAAAGAGCUACAAAAAACACAGAAACAUGUCUUGAUAUUAGGAAAACAGACAUGAACAAAAUGAAAAUUUCUCAGAGAAAUCAUAAAAAAGAACCAAACAUUCUGGAGCAGAAGAAUACAAUAAAUGAAACAAAAAUGCACUGAAGAGCAUCAACAACACAAUGGAUUAAGCAGAAGAAAGAAUCUGUGAGAAGACAAAACUAUAAAUUAUCUGUUCAGAGAAGAAAAAGAGUGAAGAAAGUCUACAUGAAUCAUGGUGCAUCAUCAAACAAAAGUAUAUUCACAUUAUGAAAAUCUCAAUGUGAAGACUGAGAAAAAGGGCAGAAAGCCUAUUUAAAGAAAUAAUACCUGAAAACUUCCAAAUCUGGAGAGAGAUUUUGAUAUCCAAGUUCAUAAAGCUCACAACUCUUGAGAUCAAGAGCUGACACAUGCUCUACUGACAGAGCCAGCCAGGUACCCCAUCA